rnacentral:tRNA from 1 species
GACACCAUAGCCAAGUGGUUACGGCGACAGAUUCGAACAACAGUUCGAGGGUUCGAACCCCAGUAUGAUCUGUUCCUCUUUGAGGGCGCAGGUUCGAAUCCUGCUGGUGUCG